rnacentral:rRNA from 1 species
UGGUCAAGUUAUUAAGGGGGCAGGGCGGAUGCCUUGGCACUAGGAGCCGAUGAAGGACGUGAUAAGCUGCGAUAAGCUUCGGGGAGUUGCACGUAAACUUUGAUCCGAAGAUUUCCGAAUGAGGAAACUCACUUAGAGUAAUGUCUAAGUAUCAUUAAGUGAAUACAUAGCUUAAUGAGGGGAACUCAGGGAACUGAAACAUCUAAGUACCUGAAGGAAGAGAAAGAAAUUCGAUUCCGUAAGUAGCGGCGAGCGAA